AUACUUACCUGGCAGGGUAAAUACCAUGAUCACAAAAGUUUGUUUCUCCAGGGGGAAGCUCACCCAUUCUCACUCCACUCUGGUUGUGCUGACCCCUGUGAUUUCUCCAAUGUGGGAAACUCAACUGCAUAAUUUGUGGUAGUGGGAGACUGUGUUCAAGCUCUCCCC